rnacentral:rRNA from 1 species
AGUCACUGACAUUAGAUACCCGUGUAGUCCAGGGUGUAAACGCUGCAGACUUGGUGUUGGAGGCCCUUUGGGGGCAUUCAGUGCCGGAGAGAAGUUGUUAAGUCUGCUACUUGGGAGUACGUCCGCAAGGAUGAAACUUAAGGAAUUGGCGGGGGAGCACCGCAACGGGAGGAGCGUGCGGUUUAAUUGGAUUCAACGCCGAAAACUCACCAGCAGCGACUGUUACAUGAAAGUCAGGUUGAUGACCUUACUAGAUUUUCAG